UUUUUUACAUUCAUUAUAUACAAAUAGGCGCAUCAAUGGGAAUCAUAUCUAGAUAGAACGGGUGUCUAUCACAAUUGAUAUUAUUAACAAACCAAACAUGAAUUAUUCGAACAACUCGCUUCAUGAUUCUUUGAUCGAGUUGAUUUCAUAGAUGUUAUCAAAUCUUGGUGUCAUGACAAUCUUUUGGAGUUUGACAACACUAUUUGGAAGAAAUGUGCAAGUGGAAAUGAUUAAAGAAAGGCUUAAAUAUGGAAAUGGUCCCUGCAAAUAUCUGGCGUUUUGGUUUUAGUCCCUAUAAAAAUAUUUUUUUGGUUUUAGUCCCUGUAAAUAUAGAAAAUUUGGUUUUGGUCCUUGGUAUUUUGUUUUAAUCCUUGUAAAAUCAUUUCAUAUUGAAAUUGGUCCCUAUAAUAUUCAUUUUAGUCCUCGUUUUGAGGACUAAAAUCAAAUAUUCUACAUAUUAAAAGGAGCAAAUCCUAUAUGAAUCAAUUUUACAAGGACUAAAACAAAAUACCAAGGACCAAAACCAAAUUUUUUAUAUUUGCAGGGACUAAAACCAAAAAAAUAUUUUUACAGGGACUAAAACCAAAAUGUCAGAUAUUUGCAGGGACUAUUUUCAUAUUUAAGCCUUAAAGAAACUUAUACUAUGUAUAGGAAAAAUAAUAAAAGCAAAUGACAUCAUGAACAAAUAAAAAAUAUGAUACAAAAUUGGCUAAUCCUAAAAUGCUUGAUUGGCUUACAACCUAAAAAUAUCUAGAGACAUCACAAACAAACAAAACACAGACAAUCCGAACAACCACGAUCCAUGAUUCCUUCACAGGGCUGAUCUCAUAGAUGUUAUCGAAUCUUGAUGCCAUUAUAAUCUCGUUUUUUAGAUUGAUGGGGAGGAGGAAUAGAUGAAUGAGACAAUUGAAUAACAACGGA
rnacentral:lncRNA from 1 species